AGAGGACCUGAGUUCAAGUCUCCAGAACCCAUGUAAAAGCCAGGCGUGGCCAAGUGUGUUUGUAACCCAGCAUUCUGAGAGGCAGACACAGGCACAUCCUAGAAGCUCAUUGGCCAGAUAGUUUAACCCAGAUGGCAAGCUCCAGGUUCAGUGAGAGAGUCCGUGAAGGGAGUGAGGCUGAGGGUGGUAGAGACUCAACCAUCCUCUGACUUCCAUGUGUGCUCAUGUGUGCGUGUACAGCUACAUGUGGAGACACACAGAUGCCCAGAUGCACAGGCACACACAAUGAAUUCAUGAGGGAAUAAAUAAGUGAAUUUACAGGAUUAUGAUCUGUUACUGCCCCCAAGUCUGCCUCGGUCAUUGGGGGAGGUUCUAUUGGCAUUUUUGAGCCAUGGAAUUCUCUGUUGUUGAGAGUUUCCUAUGCAAUGUAAACACUUAGAAACCUUCCUGGGCACAACCCUUCAGAGACCAAAAGCACCCAUGGCUUGCAGUUGCGCAAACCAAAAGUACACUGAGACUUGUCCAAGUGUUCCCUGGACAGGACGUGGGGAACAAACUUGGCCCUGGCCAAGAGACAAUGGCUGUAACAACAGCAAAUGGCUGUAAGCAGGUGACAUGACUUCUGGAGUUGAUGACCACUUCACUCAGCAUCUGUCUGGUCCCUGGAAACACCAGCUGGGAGAGGCAUGGCGCUCUCUGCUGAGGGGCCAGGCAGGAUAGAGCAUGCUACAUGUCCUGAAAAGAAACCUGAGCUGAGUUCAACUGCCUGCUUCAGAUGAGGUGUCAUGCAGCCUAGCUUGCCCUCCUUCCUGUGUAACUGGCAAUGACCUUGAAUUCCUGAUUCUCCUGUUCCCAUCUCCCGAGUCCUGGGGACACAGGGGGAAGGAUGUUUUCUGUGUGACUCAACCAUCCCAACCUUGGGUAUGCAGCCGCGGGAAGUUAAUGACACACAAAAGCUAAACCUGAAAUGCACGUGAUGCUGAUGGAUUAUUCACAAUAACCAAGACACGGGAGUCAGCUGGAGCGCACAUGUGCAGAAGAGUGGAAAGAGGAAAUCGAGAUGCACACAAUGGGAUACUUAUUAUUCUCCAUGAGCAAGAAUGGAAUCCUGCCAUCUGCAGCUGAAUGGUCGGACCCAAAGGAUACCGGGGUCAGAUAGGCAAGAAGUAUAUGUCGUCUCUUAGACAUGGAAACCAAAAGAGAAAAAUAAAUGACCUGAAAGUGAGAUAUAACUUAUGAGGGAAGGACUGGGAAGACUUUCAUGAUCCCGAGGAGAGACAAAUUACUGACUCCAAGGAGCUUCGCCAGCAGAAAGAUGGCACUCGGUGGCCUUCACCGAUGGGUUUCCAGUCUGUUCUGGGAUGCAAAGAGCAGAACUGAGACAUCUUCAGACAUCCAUCUGCCCUGAUGGCAUGGCUAGUUGGUUCUUGCUGUGACGAGAGUGAAACUGUCUUUUGAAACACCUGUUCUUCAAGCUCCAUGGCUGUGUGGGACUCCUUAGAUGCUGAGGUAAGAAUAAAAAACAAACAGAAUCCUCUUUUUUUGGAGCGGGGGGACAGGUUCUUACUCUACAGUCCAGUCUGCCCUUUGUAUGACUCAGUUUGUGUAGACCCUUGAACUCAUGACAAUCCAGAAUGGUCAGUCAAGCUCCUGGAUGCCUGAUUGCCUCCCCAGACUCCAGAACACAGCUUUGCUGACUAGCCGCAUGCCCCAACUCUUCAGAUAUUUCUGGGGAGUUUUUGCACUGACUCCUGGAGACACUUGACAUUAACUCUGUCCAUUUGCCUUCAAGUUUCACAUGCAGAAAAGGGAAACAUGCGUUUUCUAGCAGACUAGAACAGUCCUGAGUGUUUCCUGUGAAUGUCUCUGUGUGGUGUACCACAGGUCUGUCAGAGUGGGAGGAAACAAAGGGCUUGGACUCAAACAGGACUUCCGGAAUGUUCUUUCAGACGAGUUGUGCUUGGUCCAAACUGAAACUUGGAUGGGUUUAUUUUUUUCACCUGUGAGUUGAGACUGUCGCUGUUUCUUGUGUUCUCACAGGACGUAAUUAGUCGCAUUUCCCACUGCUGUGACAAAAUGCCCGAGGGCAGCGAUGUGAGGAAGCUAGAAGGUUUAUUUUGGCUCAGGAUUUGAGGGUAGAGCCCAUCAUGGUGGGAAACACACCAUGGCAGGGAUGUGAAGCUGCUGGUUGCCUUCAUCCAGUGAGGAAGCAGAAACCGAUGCCAGUGCUCAGCUCCCACCUACUUUUUACUCCUCAGUGUGUAGAGCAGUGUCGCCCACAAUCAGGGCUGCUCUUCCUUCUUCCCUUAGCCCUCACAGACUUGCCCAGAGAUGUGUCUUCCAAACCCAGCCAUUUUGACAGUAAGUAUUAACUAUCGCAGGGACUAAAAUCCCCCCCACCCCCUGAAAGGACUAUUAAGUAAGCAUCAGGCAUGAUACCACUCACCUGUAUCCUGUAUCCCAACCCUUAAGAGACUGGGGCAGCAGGAGGGUUGUGAGUUCAAGGCCAGCCUAGGUCACUUGGAGAAACCCUAUCUCAAAGAAACAAAACAAAACAAAACAAAACAAAACAACAACAAAAACCCCGGGGGCUGGAGGUUUGCCUCAGAGUUAAGAACAUGUGCUGCUCUUCCAGGGGAGCUGGAUUCAAUUUCCAGCACCUCUAUGGUGCUUCAUAACUCUGAUAACUGCAGCCUCAAGGGAUCUGAAGCCCUCUUCUGACCUUCCUGAGCACCAGACAUAUAGGAGGUGCACAUACAUAUAUGUAGGCAGAAACACACACGUAAGAUAAUAAAACAAAUGUUAAAAAGUUAAAAAAAAAAACCAAAGAGUUAGCAAAACCCAGACAAAAAAGUCAUAAUCAGGAUAGCUGAACAGGCUGUGAGUUUCAUCUCUCUGCCCUCAGCAAGAUAUCCUAAGGGAGAAACAGCAAGGACGACAGGGUGUGAUAAGAUGAAAUAAUCAUAUUUUGCACUUAAGUAAAAAACAGUUUUAGAUCAUAGAUCUUCUUCCUACUUGCUGUGCAGUGUUGGGCAGGUUUCAUACUUGCUAAGGUUUUCAUUUUCAUAUUCAAGGCUAAAGGGUUAGAUAGACGAAUCAAUGGUCGAAUCAAAGGACGGGAGUUUGGUUCCAAGAACUUGAGGGUAGCUCAUUUCCAUAGGAACAGGGAUCUGAUGCCCUCUUCUGGUCUCUAUGGGCACUGCACUCAGGUACACACACACACACACACACACACACACACAUUUAAAAAGAAAAUAAGGUCAUUGCACAACACAGUUAAGGACAGUUACUUGUAAGUUAAUAUGAGGGUUAAAUGAAGAUGAUAUUUAUGAAGUUCCUAGAAAAUAUCUUACACAGAUCAAAAAGACCAAGAAGAUGAAAUUGCUUCUGUUUGAAUUAUAGUUUAACUACUUACUCAUAAAAAUGACUAAUAUUUUCACGUUAACACAAGUGAAACUUCUGUGUAGAGAUGUAUUGAUUUCUCUAAAGCUCUACUCUAUAAAGAACGCUCUGAAGACAGGGAUGGGAUUGUGGGCAGUGUUUGGUAUCCUGGCUUAGAGUUGACCCUAUGCUAUGUACUCUGGAAGUGAACACUUCUUUAUUGUUUUUAGUGGUGCUGAGAAUCUGGAAUUUCCAGUCCAGAGAGACGCCUCGGUGACUAAAAGUGUAUACUGUGUUUGUAGAAGAUCUCAACACGUACAUCAGGUAGUUCACAACUGUCUACAGCUUCCGCUCAAGGGAAAUCUGCUAUUCUCUUUGGCUUCUCCAAGAAAAUGAAUGCAUUGCAUAGAUACAACACACACACACACACACACACACACACACACACACUCAUAUGUACGUUUAAUUUUUUAACUAAUUAAAGUUUAUGUGCAUGUGAGUUUUGACCGCAUGUAUGUUUGUGAUUGGUCCAAGCUCUGCUGGAGGCUGUUGCAUUGCUGUACUUAGAUUAUCGACGGGAUGAUAAAGACAGUGGUCACACCUGCCAAUUCCAAGGACACAACACACAAUGCAGCCCUUCCUUUUUGGCUGUGCCCCCAGGAGAGCUCACAUAACCUCUCAGAGUCCUCCAAAGUUGCUUUCUCAGGCAUUUUAUCAGCGGUAAGAAAAGUAACUGUAUCUUGGGUAUUCUGAGC
rnacentral:sRNA from 1 species